AUUGAACGCUGGCGGCAGGCCUAACACAUGCAAGUCGAACGAGUGGCGGACGGGUGAGUAAUGUCUGGGAAACUGCCUGAUGGAGGGGGAUAACUACUGGAAACGGUAGCUAAUACCGCAUACCAUCGGAUGUGCCCAGAUGGGAUUAGCUAGUAGGUGGGGUAAAGGCUCACCUAGGCGCCGAUCCCUAGCUGGUCUGAGAGGAUGCCCAGCCACACUGUAACUGAGACUCGGUCCCUACGCCUCCGGGAGGCAGCAGUGGGGAAUAUUGCACAAUGGGCUCACUCCUGAGGCAGCCAUGCCGCGUGUAUGAAGAAGGCCUUCUGGUUGUAAAGUACUUUCAUCGGGGAUGCGUUACCCGCAGAAGAAGCACCUGCUAACUCCGUGCCAGCAGCCGCGGUAAUAC
rnacentral:rRNA from 1 species